rnacentral:rRNA from 1 species
GACGAACGCUGGCGGCGUGCUUAACACAUGCAAGUCGAACGGCAAGGCCCUGCUUUUGUGGGGUGCUCGAGUGGCGAACGGGUGAGUAACACGUGAGUAACCUGCCCUUGACUUUGGGAUAACUUCAGGAAACUGGGGCUAAUACCGGAUAGGAGCUCCUGCUGCAUGGUGGGGGUUGGAAAGUUUCGGCGGUUGGGGAUGGACUCGCGGCUUAUCAGCUUGUUGGUGGGGUAGUGGCUUACCAAGGCUUUGACGGGUAGCCGGCCUGAGAGGGUGACCGGCCACAUGGGGACUGAGAUACGGCCCAGAGUCCUACGGGAGGCAGCAGUGGGGAAUAUUGCACAAUGGGCGGAAGCCUGAUGCAGCAACGCCGCGUGCGGGAUGACGGCCUUCGGGUUGUAAACCGCUUUCGCCUGUGACGAAGCGUGAGUGACGGUAAUGGGUAAAGAAGCACCGGCUAACUACGUG